UAAAGGGUCAAACGUGGAUUCUGCCUUCUCUUCUGAGGACCUCCCCUCCUUCGCAGAGUUUGCCUGAACCUCGGCCACAUUUCAGUCCGGUCUGAUUAUCUGAACGCUGAGUCUAAAGUUUGCAGCUUGCUCCUUUCAUUUCUGUCAUCCCAUCGAAUGUCUGUGAAACUUACCAAGCAAGGAAAGAGAGAGAGAGGAAAGGAGGAAAGAGAGAGAGAAAGAGAAAGAAAGGAAAAGGAAAAAAAGAAAAGAAAGAAAAAGGAAACCAUCAAGCAACUCUUUGCCCGACUCCCUUCUUCGAUUGCCAACUUCAGAAUCCAGCACACACAAUUGGGAGAGGAGUCUGGAUAUUCAUCCCCUCUGGACUGUAAAGAUGACAAAUCUCUCUCAACUCUUUGGUUAGAAAAUACAAUUAAGUGGACUGGAGUGGGCUCUCUCCAAAGAAAAUUGGCUGGAUUGAGAUCCUCACACCGUCACUUUGGUAUGCUGUUAAGAAGCCAGAAGUGCUUGGUGGCACCUCGAGACAAUAGAGUCACGAGAAUAGUAGGAGGAGAAGGGGUCGACAGAGGAUGAGAUGGCAGGAUGGCAUCACCGACUCGAUGGACGCAAGUUUUGAGUGAACUCCGGGAACUGGUGAUGGACAUAGAGGCCUGGCGUGCUGCAAUACAUGGGGUCACAGAGAGUCAGACACGACUGAGCAACUGAACUGAGCUGAACUGAGCUGAUAUGCCCAGGAGUGGGAUUGCAUGGUCAUAUGGUAGCUCUAUUUUUAGUUUUUUCAAGGAACCUGCAUAUUGUUCAUAGUGGCUGUACCACCUUACAUUUCCACCAACAGUGUAGGAGGGUUCACUUCUUUCCACACCCUCUCCAGCAUUUAUUGUUUGCAGAUUUUUGAUGAUGGCCAUUUUGACUGGUGUGAGGUGAUGUCUUGUUGUAGUUUUGAUUGGCAUUUCCAGAAUACAUCAUGAAAAAUGCUGGGCUGGAAGAAGCACAAGCUGGAAUCAAGAUUGCUGGGAGAAAUAUCAAUAACCUCAGAUAUGCAGAUGACACCACCCUUAUGGCAGAAAGUGAAGAGGAACUCAAAAGCCUCUUGAUGAAAGUAAAAGAGGAGAGCGAAAAAGUUGGCUUAAAGUUCAACAUUCAGAAAACUAAGAUCAUGGCAUGUGGUCCCAUCACUUCAUGGGAAUUAGAUGGAGAAACAGUGGAAACAGUGGCAGGCUUUAUUUUUUGGGCUCCAAAAUCACUGCAGAUGGUGACUGCAGCCAUGAAAUUAAAAGACACUUACUCCUUGGAAGAAAAGUUAUGACCAACCUAGAUAGCAUAUUGAAAAGCAGAGACAUUACUUUUCCAACAAAGGUCUGUCUAGUCAAGGCUAUGGUUUUUCCAGUGGUCAUGUAUGGAUGUGAGAGUUGGACUGUGAAGAAAGCUGAGCGCCGAAGAAUUGAUGCUUUUGAACUGUAGUGUUGGAGAAGACACUUGAGAGUCCCUUGGACUGCAAGGAGAUCCAACCAGUCCAUUCUGAAGGAGAUCAGCCCUGGGAUUUCUUUGGAAGGAAUGAUGCUAAAGCUGAAACUCCAAUACUUUGGCCACCUCAUGCAAAGAGUUGACUCAUUGGAAAAGACUCUGAUGCUGGGAGGGAUUGGGUGCAGGAGGAGAACAGGACGACCGAGGAUGAGAUGGCUGGAUGGCAUCACGACUCGAUGGACGUGAGUCUGAGUGAACUCCAGGAGUUGGUGAUGGACAGGGAGGCCUGGCGUGCUGCGAUUCAUGGGGUCGCAAAGAGUCGGACACGACUGAGUGAACUGAACUGAACUGAACUGAACUGAAUAAUAAGCAGUGUUGAACAUCUUUUCAUGUAUUUGUUGGCCAUCUGUAUGUUUUGUUUGGAGAAAUAUCAGUUUAGGUUUUCUGCCCAUUUAUUGAUUGGGUUGUUUGUUUUGUUGAUAUUAUGCUUCAUAAGCUGUUUGUAGAUUUCGAAGACUAAUCCUUUGUAGUCACAUAAUUUGCAAAUAUUUUCUCCCAGUCUAUUUGUUGUCUUUUCAUUUUUUUUAUUGUUUCCUUUGCUGUGAAAAAGCUUUGGAGUUUAAGUAGGUCCCAUUUGUUUAUUUUUGUUAUUAUCUCUAUUAUUCUAGGAGAUGCAUCAAAAAAGAUAUUGGAGCCAUUUAUGUCAGAGAGUAUUCUGCCUGUGUUUUUCUCUAGGAGUUUUAUAGUGUCCAGUCUCAUAUUUAGGUCUUUAAUCCAUUUUGAGCUUAUUUUUGUGUAUGGUAUUUAAGAAUGAUCUCAUUUCAUGUUUCUUUACAUGUAGCUGUCCAGUUUCCAAGCACCAUUUGUUCAAGAGACUGUCUUGCCAACAUUGCCUUGCCUUCUUUGUCAAAGAUAAUUGACCAUAGGUGCAUGGAUUUAUUUUGGGGCCUUCUAUCCUGUUCCAUUGAUCUAUAUUUUGAAGUACUUUUGUGCCAAUGCCAUACUCUUUUGAGAGCUAUAGGUUUGCAGUAUAGUCUGAGGUCAGGGAGCCUGAUUCCUCUAGCUCCACUUUUCUUUCUCAAGAUUCCUUUCAGUGUUUGAGGUCUUUUGCAUCUCCAAACAAACUUUAGGAUUUUUUUGUUCUAGUUCCGUGAAAAAUGCCUUUGGUAAUUUGAUAGAGAUUGCACUGAAUCUGCAUAUUGCCUUUGGUAAUAGUCCACUUGUGUGCUGAUGAGUGAGGCUGCACUCCCUCCCUGGUUUGAUCUGAACUGACCCAGCCUUGGAGUCUACAGGCUCUAUGGAAGGGCUCAUGGUGAUGACCUCCAGGAGGGCUCAUGCCAGUGGGCGCUUCCUAGGAUAGCUGCUACCAGGGUCCUUGUCCCCGUGGUGAGCCACUGUGGACCCAUGCCUCUGCAAGGGACCCUCCAGCAUUAGUAGGCAGGUCUGGUUCAGUCUCCUUGGGGUUACUGCUCAUUUCCCCAGGUCCCCAUGUACACCAGGUUGUAUGUGUGCCUUCCAAGAGUGGAGUUUUGGUUUCCCCCAGUCUUGCUGGGUUCUGGCAGUCAAAUCCCGCUAGCCUUCAGAGUCAGAUUCCCUGAGGAUUCCUAGUUCCUUAGCCACAUCCCCAGGCUGGGAAGCCUCAGGUGGGGCUCAGAACCUGCGCAGCAGUGGGAGAACCCCUGUGGUGUAAUUGUUGUGGGUCACCCACCUGACAGGUAUGGGGUUUGAUUGUAUCAUGAUUGUGCCCCUCCUGUGUCUCAUUGCAGCUUCUCCUUUGCCUUUGGAGAUGGGCUGUCUUUUUGGUAGGUUCUAGCAUCCUCCUGUCAAUGGUUGUUCAGCAAUUAGUUGUGAUUUUGGAGUUCUCGUAGCAG
rnacentral:lncRNA from 1 species